UUAAGUUCAGCGGGUAUCCCUACCUGAUCCGAGGUCAACCGUAAAAAAUGGGGGGUUCUGGCAGGUAACCACCGGGACCCUAUAGCGAGAGCAUUACUACGCUUAGAGCCAGACGGCACCGCCACUGAUUUUAAGGGCCGCGAGACCGCGAACCCCAAGACAAGCCGAGGCUUGAGUGGUUAUAAUGACGCUCGAACAGG
rnacentral:misc_RNA from 1 species